rnacentral:rRNA from 1 species
CCUACGGGCGGCAGCAGUGAGGAAUAUUGGUCAAUGGGCGGAAGCCUGAACCAGCCAAGUCGCGUGAGGGAAUAAGGCCCUACGGGUCGUAAACCUCUUUUGCCGGGGAGCAAGGGCGGGGACGUGUCCCGGCCCGGAGAGUACCCGGAGAAAAAGCAUCGGCUAACUCCGUGCCAGCAGCCGCGGUAAUACGGAGGAUGCGAGCGUUAUCCGGAUUUAUUGGGUUUAAAGGGUGCGUAGGCGGGCUUUUAAGUCAGCGGUAAAAAUUCUAGGCGCAACCCCGUCCGGCCGUUGAAACUGGGGGCCUUGAGUGGGCGAGAAGAAGGCGGAAUGCGUGGUGUAGCGGUGAAAUGCAUAGAUAUCACGCAGAACCCCGAUUGCGAAGGCGACUAUCUGGCACAUAACUGACGCUGAGGAGCGAAAGCGUGGGUAGCAAACAGGAUUAGAUACCCGGGUAGUC